ACUAAAGUGGCAGAUAUAAUGCGAGGAAUUUAAGCUUCCUGUAUGAGAAUUCCUUUAGUA
rnacentral:tRNA from 1 species